AGAACGAAUGCUGGCGGCAUGCCUAAUACAUGCAAGUCGAACGAACUCUUCGGAGUUAGUGGCGCACGGGUGCGUAACGCGUGGGAAUCUGCCCUUGGGUUCGGAAUAACAGUUGGAAACGACUGCUAAUACCGGAUGAUGACGUUAAGUCCAAAGAUUUAUCGCCCAGGGAUGAGCCCGCGUAGGAUUAGCUAGUUGGUGAGGUAAAGGCUCACCAAGGCGACGAUCCUUAGCUGGUCUGAGAGGAUGAUCAGCCACACUGGGACUGAGACACGGCCCAGACUCCUACGGGAGGCAGCAGUGGGGAAUUUGGACAAUGGGGGAAACCCUGAUCCAGCCAUCCCGCGUGUGCGAUGAAGGCAUUCGGUUGUAAAGCACUUUUGGCAGGGAAGAAACGGCGUGCCCUAAUACGGACGUCACUGACGGUACCUGCAGAAUAAGCACCGGCUAACGUACGUGCCAGCAGCCGC
rnacentral:rRNA from 1 species